rnacentral:rRNA from 1 species
AUUGAACGCUGGCGGCAUGCCUUACACAUGCAAGUCGAACGGCAGCGCGGGUGCUUGCACCUGGCGGCGAGUGGCGAACGGGUGAGUAAUACAUCGGAACGUGCCCUAGAGUGGGGGAUAACUAGUCGAAAGAUUAGCUAAUACCGCAUACGAUCUACGGAUGAAAGUGGGGGACCGCAAGGCCUCAUGCUCCUGGAGCGGCCGAUGUCUGAUUAGCUAGUUGGUGGGGUAAUAGCCUACCAAGGCGACGAUCAGUAGCUGGUCUGAGAGGACGAGCAGCCACACUGGGACUGAGACACGGCCCAGACGCCUACGGGAGGCAGCAGUGGGGAAGUUUGGACGAUGGGGGCAACCCUGAUCCAGCAAUGCCGCGUGUGUGAAGAAGGCCUUCGGGUUGUAAAGCACUUUUGUCAGGAACGAAACGGUGGGGGCUAAUACCUCCUGCUAAUGACGGUACCUGAAGAAUAAGCACCGGCUAACUACGUGCCAGCCGCCGCCGUAA